UACGUAGGGGGCAAGCGUUGUCCGGAAUCAUUGGGCGUAAAGAGCGUGUAGGCGGUCCGGUAAGUCGGCUGUGAAAGUCCAGGGCUCAACCCUGGGAUGCCGGUCGAUACUGCCGGACUAGAGUUCGGAAGAGGCGAGUGGAAUUCCCGGUGUAGCGGUGAAAUGCGCAGAUAUCGGGAGGAACACCAAUAGCGAAGGCAGCUCGCUGGGACGGUACUGACGCUAAGGCGCGAAAGCGUGGUGAGCGAACAGG
rnacentral:rRNA from 1 species